UACGGAAGGCAGCAGUGGGGAAUAUUGCACAAUGGGCGAAAGCCUGAUGCAGCUAUGCCGCGUGUAUGAAGAAGGCCUUAGGGUUGUAAAGUACUUUCAUCGGGGAGGAAAAAACAAAACUAAUAAUUUUAUUUCUUGACGUUACCCGAAAAAGAAGCACCGGCUAACUCCGUGCCAGCAGCCGCGGUAAUACGGAGGGUGCUAGCGUUAAUCAGAAUUACUGGGCGUAAAGAGCACGUAGGUGGUUUUUUAAGUUCAGAUGUGAAAUCCCUGGGCUUAACCUAGGAACUGCAUUUGAAACUGAAAUACUAGAGUAUCGUAGAGGGAGGUAGAAUUCUAGGUGUAGCGGUGAAAUGCGUAGAUAUCUGGAGGAAUACCUGUGGCGAAAGCGGCCUCCUAAACGAAUACUGACACUGAGGUGCGAAAGCGUGGGGAGGCAAACAGGGAUUAGAUACC
rnacentral:rRNA from 1 species